rnacentral:rRNA from 2 species
UAGGGAAUCUUCGGCAAUGGGGGGAACCCUGACCGAGCAACGCCGCGUGAGUGAAGAAGGUUUUCGGAUCGUAAAGCUCUGUUGUUAAGGAAGAACGAGUGUGAGAAUGGAAAGUUCAUGCUGUGACGGUACUUAACCAGAAAGGGACGGCUAACUACGUGCCAGCAGCCGCGGUAAUACGUAGGUCCCGAGCGUUGUCCGGAUUUAUUGGGCGUAAAGCGAGCGCAGGCGGUUAGAAAAGUCUGAAGUGAAAGGCAGUGGCUCAACCAUUGUAGGCUUUGGAAACUGUUUAACUUGAGUGCAGAAGGGGAGAGUGGAAUUCCAUGUGUAGCGGUGAAAUGCGUAGAUAUAUGGAGGAACACCGGUGGCGAAAGCGGCUCUCUGGUCUGUAACUGACGCUGAGGCUCGAAAGCGGGGGGAGCGAACAGG